rnacentral:rRNA from 1 species
UACGUAGGGUGCAAGCGUUAAUCGGAAUUACUGGGCGUAAAGCGUGCGCAGGCGGUUAUGCAAGACAGAUGUGAAAUCCCCGGGCUCAACCUGGGAACUGCAUUUGUGACUGCAUGGCUGGAGUGCGGCAGAGGGGGAUGGAAUUCCGCGUGUAGCAGUGAAAUGCGUAGAGAUGUGGAGGAAUACCGAUGGCGAAGGCAGCCCCCUGGGAUAACACUGACGCUCAUGCACGAAAGCGUGGGGAGCAAACAGG